GCACUACUGAGGAGUCCUACAGUAGGACGAAACGACCGUCUAGUAU
rfam:Schistosoma mattheei strain Denwood, Zambia genome assembly, scaffold: SMTD_scaffold0000855